rnacentral:rRNA from 1 species
UACGUAGGGUGCAAGCGUUAAUCGGAAUUACUGGGCGUAAAGCGUGCGCAGGCGGUGAUGUAAGACAGUUGUGAAAUCCCGGGCCUCAACCUGGGAACUGCAUUUGGGACUGCAAGGCUUGAGUACGGCAGAGGGGGUAGAAUUCCUGGUGUAGAGGUGAAAUUCGUAGAUAUUCGCAAGAACACCAGUGGCGAAGGCGGCUCACUGGCCCGAGUACUGACGCUGAGGCACGAAAGCGUGGGAGCAACAGG